rnacentral:rRNA from 1 species
GUGGGGAAUAUUGGACAAUGGGCGAAAGCCUGAUCCAGCCAUGCCGCGUGUGUGAAGAAAGUCUUCGGAUUGUAAAGCACUUUAAGUUGGGAGGAAGGGCAGUAAGUUAAUACCUUGCUGUUUUGACGUUACCGACAGAAUAAGCUCCGGCUAACUUCGUGCCAGCAGCCGCGGUAAUACGAAGGGUGCAAGCGUUAAUCGGAAUUACUGGGCGUAAAGCGCGCGUAGGUGGUUUUGUAAGUUGGAGGUGAAAUCCCCGGGCUCAACCUGGGAACUGCCUCCAAAACUACUGAGCUAGAGUACGGUAGAGGGUAGUGGAAUUUCCUGUGUAGCGGUGAAAUGCGUAGAUAUAGGAAGGAACACCAGUGGCGAAGGCGACUACCUGGACUGAUACUGACACUGAGGUGCGAAAGCGUGGGGAGCAAACAGGAUUAGAAACCCUUGUAGUCC